rnacentral:tRNA from 1 species
GCUAGUAUAGCUUAACCAAAGCAUAACUCUGAAGAUGUUAAGAUGGGCCUUAAUUAGCCCUACAAGCA